GAUGCCGCGUGAGUGAAGAAGGCCCUUGGGUUGUAAAGCUCUUUCGUCGGGGAAGAAAAUGACUGUACCCGAAUAAGAAGGUCCGGCUAACUUCGUGCCAGCAGCCGCGGUAAUACGAAGGGACCUAGCGUAGUUCGGAAUUACUGGGCUUAAAGAGUUCGUAGGUGGUUGAAAAAGUUAGUGGUGAAAUCCCAGAGCUUAACUCUGGAACUGCCGUUAAAACUUUUCAGCUAGAGUAUGAUAGAGGAAAGCAGAAUUUCUAGUGUAGAGGUGAAAUUCGUAGAUAUUAGAAAGAAUACCAAUUGCGAAGGCAGCUUUCUGGAUCAUUACUGACACUGAGGAACGAAAGCAUGGGUAGCGAAGAGGAUUAGAUACCCUCGUAGUCCAUGCCGUAAACGAUGUGUGUUAGACGUUGGAAAUUUAUUUUCAGUGUCGCAGGGAAACCGAUAAACACACCGCCUGGGGAGUACGACCGCAAGGUUAAAACUCAAAUGAAUUGACGGGGACCCGCACAAGUAGUGGAGCAUGUGGUUUAAUUCGAAGAUACGCGCAGAACCUUACCAACACUUGACAUGUUCGUCGCAACUUUAAGAGAUUAAAGUUUUCGGUUCGGCCGGACGAAACACAGGUGCUGCAUGGCUGUCGUCAGCUCGUGUCGUGAGAUGUUGGGUUAAGUCCCGCAACGAGCGCAACCCUCACUUUUAGUUGCCAUCAUUAAGUU
rnacentral:rRNA from 1 species